rnacentral:rRNA from 1 species
CCUACGGGUGGCAGCAGUGGGGAAUAUUGGGCAAUGGACGCAAGUCUGACCCAGCAAUGUCGCGUGAAGGAAGACGGCUUUCGGGUUGUAAACUUCUUUUAAGGGGGAAGCGCAGAAGACGGUACCCCUUGAAUAAGCCACGGCUAACUACGUGGCAGCAGCCGCGGGAAUACGUAGGUGGCAGGCGUUGUCCGGAUUUACUGGGUGUAAAGGGCGUGCAGCCGGAGAGACCAGGCAGAUGUUAAAUCCACGGGCUCAACCCGUGAACUGCAGUUGAAACUGUUUCCCUUGAGUGUCGGAGAGGUAAGCGGAAUGCCUGGUGUAGCGGUGAAAUGCGUAGAUAUAAGGAAGAACACC